GUGCUCUCUUCAGUAGCACAUAUACUAAAAUUGGAACAAUACAGAGAUGAUUAGCACGGCCCCUGCACAAGGAUGACAACGCAAACUGUCAUCUUUGCGUGUUUUUG
rnacentral:snRNA from 1 species